GCUGGAGACGCCGCUCGGUCUUUUACGUCUGGACUUGGGAAAUGUGGUCUUGCUUGUGGAUCAGAAGAUCGUUUGAAAAUGGGCAGUCCCCGACCUUGUCUGAGAUUGAGCUGUACUGUGCCCAGAUGGCGCUGUGUGCAAACCAGAUUAGUAAAAAAGGCAGGGUUCUGGCAUUCUGUAAAAAUGCUUAAUCUUCAAAAUAAUUGGUCCGCUGCGGGAACGGUGGGCUCUAGUGGUGUAAAGGAGCUGUUACCCGGAGAUGUUGAGGUGCAGGGGGAAAUUCCAAAACACGUGAGAGAAUAUUUGCUAGGAAAUGGCUUGAUUGGAACCUGACAGUCUUAACUCAGCAUCCUGGAGAUUAAUGAACAAUAAUGGAGCUAUUAAUGUCACUGAGGAGCAACCUUGCUUUAAAUGAGGUGUCGCUGUCUGCCCAUGGAAAGAGGCCAGUUUGCAGUAACCUUCCUAAGGCAUAACUCAUUUCUGGCAAAUGCCACCAGAUUUACUUGUAUGAAAAACAUAAGGAAAAGCUCUUCAUUUUACUGGCAUGGGAAGAAAACCUACAAAUCAAGACAAUAGAUCUAUUUUUAUUUUUGUAAACAUUAAUCAAAUUGAAUGUAUCCAUAAGAAUUAAGCCUUUUACUUUUGUCACACUGCCCUAUUCACAACCUGUUAGUCAAAUUGCUUUGUAGAUCUAGUUCUAUUUUAAAUACAGGAAUGUGUAGAAAACUAAUUUUUAUGGUGAAGUCUUUUUUUUUUUCUCUCCAGUUAACCAGACUUGUAAUCAGAUCACUCUGAAUGCUUUGCCUUUGGUCACCUGUUUGAAUUUAAAAUGUGUGAAUGUAAUUAAAGCUGAGUGAAAAUUGGAGUAUUGCGGGGAAAUCCUUGGGGGUUUUUUUGGAGAAUAGACUUGGUUUGGCAGUAUCACUGAAUAAGUACAAAUCAUCUUGGCUUUUUGUGUGGUACUAAAUAUUCCUGGACUAAUGGUGAGCAAAAUGGAGAGACUGCCUGUUAGGGAGAGAAAAAUACCAGGUAUCAAAAUGAUCGGUGAUCACUGGCCCUAAUUGCAAUUGUAUUUUGAAAGGAUGCUCAAGAUGGGAAAUGUAGAAUGCUGGAAAUGAAGAGAGCACAGCGUAACAAUUAUGGGUAAUGGGGGAAGAUAAGCGAGUUUAAAGUAGUUAAACAUUGCACAGAAUGUAGACUGUAAUAGCGUCUGAUGUAACCAAGAUGGGCCCCAUGCAUGAUCAUUUUCCAUAAGUAGCUGCAUAAGUUAAGUUGUUCCUAAACCCAUACUUCAGUGCCAGUCAAAAUAAUAGAAUUUUUGUCAGCUUAUAAUGAGCUGUAUUUUUCCCUAAAAUAUUUUCCUGGCUUUUAGUGAAAAUUCAGUUUUGUACCCAUGUAGCUCAGAAGAAGCUCAUGAGACUGACAAGCAUGUUCGGUUAUUGGUCAGGCACAGAGUGGAUUUACUCAAGUAUUAAAAUGGUGUACAAAAUACACAUUGGAAAUAGUUCAUUGCAGCCAAACUAGAAUAUAAGGUAUUAAUGCCACCACAUAGAGAUCCAAGUAUUCUGAGUCCCUGCACACUAUUAAACUAUAGGUUCAAUGAAUUACAAGUUGUCUGCAGGAAAUACAAACCAGUCCUUGGAUAGGAAGUGUGAGGUGUCUAAAUUUAGACUAGGGUGUGGUCCCUUUAAUGAGGCCUUAAGAUUUGAAAUCCAGCAAUGGGAAAAGCUGUUUGGCAUAAUGGAUUACACAUGGUAUCUUGAUGUUACCAGAAGGAAUUGGGAAAGCUGUGUUGCUUUAAGACUAUCACUUAGAAACUUUUGAAGAUCAGGGGCUCCUGGGUGGCUCAGUGGGUUA